GAUGAACGCUGGCGGCAUGCCUAAUACAUGCAAGUCGAGCGAACGGACGAGAAGCUUGCUUCUCUGAUGUUAGCGGCGGACGGGUGAGUAACACGUGGAUAACCUACCUAUAAGACUGGGAUAACUUCGGGAAACCGGAGCUAAUACCGGAUAAUAUUUUGAACCGCAUGGUUCAAAAGUGAAAGACGGUCUUGCUGUCACUUAUAGAUGGAUCCGCGCUGCAUUAGCUAGUUGGUAAGGUAACGGCUUACCAAGGCAACGAUGCAUAGCCGACCUGAGAGGGUGAUCGGCCACACUGGAACUGAGACACGGUCCAGACUCCUACGGGAGGCAGCAGUAGGGAAUCUUCCGCAAUGGGCGAAGGCCUGACGGAGCAACGCCGCGUGAGUGAUGAAGGUCUUCGGAUCGUAAAACUCUGUUAUUAGGGAAGAACAUAUGUGUAAGUAACUGUGCACAUCUUGACGGUACCUAAUCAGAAAGCCACGGCUAACUACGUG
rnacentral:rRNA from 1 species